rnacentral:rRNA from 1 species
UACGUAGGGGGCUAGCGUUGUCCGGAAUCAUUGGGCGUAAAGCGCGCGUAGGCGGCCAGAUAAGUCCGGUGUGAAAGCCACAGGCUCAACCUGUGAAUGCCGCUGGAAACUGUCUGGCUAGAGUCCGGGAGGGGCGAGUGGAAUUCCUGGUGUAGCGGUGAAAUGCGCAGAUAUCAGGAGGAACACCGGUGGCGAAGGCGGAUCUCUGGGCCUUACCUGACGCUGAGGCGCGAAAGCUAGGGGAGCGAACAGG